GCUGGCGUAGCUCAGUUGGUAGAGCAACUGAUUUGUAAUCAGUAGGUCGCUGGUUCAAGUCCAGUCGCCAGCU
rnacentral:tRNA from 1 species